UACGUAGGGUGCGAGCGUUGUCCGGAAUUAUUGGGCGUAAAGAGCUCGUAGGCGGCUUGUCACGUCGGUUGUGAAAGCCCGGGGCUUAACCCCGGGUCUGCAGUCGAUACGGGCAGGCUAGAGUUCGGUAGGGGAGAUCGGAAUUCCUGGUGUAGCGGUGAAAUGCGCAGAUAUCAGGAGGAACACCGGUGGCGAAGGCAGAUCUCUGGGCCGAUACUGACGCUGAGGAGCGAAAGCGUGGGGAGCGAACAGG
rnacentral:rRNA from 1 species